GAUGAAGAACGUAGCGAAAUGCGAUAAGUAAUGUGAAUUGCAGAAUUCAGUGAAUCAUCGAAUCUUUGAACGCACAUUGCGCCCGCCAGUAUUCUGGCGGGCAUGCCUGUUCGAGCGUCAUUACAACCCUCAGGCCCCCGGGCCUGGCGUUGGGGAUCGGCGGAAGCCCCCUGCGGGCACAACGCCGUCCCCCAAAUACAGUGGCGGUCCCGCCGCAGCUUCCAUUGCGUAGUAGCUAACACCUCGCAACUGGAGAGCGGCGCGGCCACGCCGUAAAACACCCAACUUCUGAAUGUUGACCUCGAAUCAGGUAGGAAUACCCGCUGAACUUAAGCAUAUCAAGAAGCGGAGGA
rnacentral:misc_RNA from 1 species